AUGCUUUGCUCACAAGAUACAUGUAACCAAAUAUCAGUAGAAGGAAAGCACUUUGAAGUUGUCAGUAGGAACUGGAGGCUAAUAAUGAAGGAGUCAGUGAAGGAGGCCAAUGGCAUGAGGGUUAUCUCACAGCCCCAGAUGCUGGAUAAGUUGAAGGAGGCAGAAUCGCUUUUGGAUGACAUUCAGAAAGGCCUGAAUGAUUAUUUGGAGAAGAAAAGACUAUUCUUUCUAAGGUUUUUUUCUUUCUGUGCAAUGAUGAGCUCUUAGAAAUCCUUUCUGAGACAAAGGAUCCACUCCGAGACCAACCACACCUGAAGAAAUGCUUUGAAGGAAUUGCCAAGCUCACUUUUAAUCAUGAGAAAGAAAUUACUCACAUGGAGUCAGCAGAAAAUGAAAAAGUAGAGCUCGUGCUGCGAAUAAUUCCAGCAAGUGCCAAGGGGCUAGUUGAGAAAUGGCUUCAUGAGGUGAAUAUCUUUAGAUCUUACUUAGGGUUUAGUUACUGUAUAAUCAUUUUCUCUUUUAGGAGCAAGGAAUAUCAUAAGCAUAUUUCCUAAGUAAAUAGCUCUCUGAGAAUUUAUCAGAUUAUUUGACAGAUUGAAUAUCAGCCUCAUUGUUGUUAUUUAUUACAACUAAUUGACACGUGCAAUCAUGCACAAAUUAAUUUUAAUAAAGAGGUUAUCAGUGUGUGAGACA
rnacentral:lncRNA from 1 species